rnacentral:rRNA from 1 species
CUAGCGACUUCAGAGUUUGAUCCUGGCUCAGAUUGAACGCUGGCGGCAUGCUUUACACAUGCAAGUCGAACGGAAACAUGGAGAGCUUGCUCUCUGAUGUCGAGUGGCGAACGGGUGAGUAAUACAUCGGAACAUGUCCUUUUGUGGGGGAUAACUACUCGAAAGAGUAGCUAAUACCGCAUAAGACCUAAGGGUGAAAGCGGGGGCUCGAAAGACCUCGCGCAGAUGGAGUGGCCGAUGACUGAUUAGCUAGUUGGUGGGGUAAAGGCCUACCAAGGCGACGAUCAGUAGCUGGUCUGAGAGGACGACCAGCCACAUUGGGACUGAGACACGGCCCAA